UACGAAGGGGGCUAGCGUUGCUCGGAAUCACUGGGCGUAAAGCGCACGUAGGCGGCUUCUUAAGUCAGGGGUGAAAUCCUGGAGCUCAACUCCAGAACUGCCUUUGAUACUGAGAAGCUCGAGUCCGGGAGAGGUGAGUGGAACUGCGAGUGUAGAGGUGAAAUUCGUAGAUAUUCGCAGGAACACCAGUGGCGAAGGCGGCUCACUGGCCCGGUACUGACGCUGAGGAGCGAAAGCGUGGGGAGCAAACAGG
rnacentral:rRNA from 1 species